rnacentral:rRNA from 1 species
GACGAACGCUGGCGGCGUGCUUAACACAUGCAAGACGAACGGUGAAAGCGGAGCUUGCUCCGCUGGAUCAGUGGCGAACGGGUGAGUAACACGUGGGCAACCUGCCCCUCACUUCGGGAUAACUCCGGGAAACCGGGGCUAAUACCGGAUAUGACCUCCUUGGGCAUCCUUGGAGGUGGAAAGUUUUUCGGUGAGGGAUGGGCCCGCGGCCUAUCAGCUUGUUGGUGAGGUAGUGGCUCACCAAGGCGACGACGGGUAGCCGGCCUGAGAGGGGGGCCGGCCACACUGGGACUGGGACACGGCCCAGACUCCUACGGGAGGCAGCAGUGGGGAAUAUUGCGCAAUGGGCGAAAGCCUGACGCAGCAACGCCGCGUGCGGGAUGACGGCCUUCGGGUUGUAAACCGCUUUCAGCAGGGAAGAAGCCGCAAGGUGACGGUACCUGCAGAAGAAGCACCGGCUAACUACGUGCCAGCAGCCGCCGUAA